AUUGAACGCUGGCGGCAAGCCUAACACAUGCAAGUCGAACGAGUGGCGGACGGGUGAGUAAUGUCUGGGAAACUGCCUGAUGGAGGGGGAUAACUACUGGAAACGGUAGCUAAUACCGCAUACCAUCGGAUGUGCCCAGAUGGGAUUAGCGAGUAGGUGGGGUAAAGGCUCACCUAGGCGACGAUCCCUAGCUGGUCUGAGAGGAUGACCAGCAACACUGGAACUGAGACACGGGCGAGAAGCCUACGGGAGGCAGCAGUGGGGAAGAGGGCACAAUGGGCGCAAGCCUGAUGAAGCCAUGCCGCGUGUAUGAAGAAGGCCUGCGGGUUGGAAAGUACUGUCAGCGGGGAGGCGUUACCCGCAGAAGAAGCACCGGCUAACUCCGUGCCAGCAGCCGCGGUAAUAC
rnacentral:rRNA from 1 species